AGUGAACGCUGGCGGUAGGCCUAACACAUGCCAGUCGAACGGCAGCACAGUAAGAGCUUGCUCUUACGGGUGGCGAGUGGCGGACGGGUGAGGAAUACAUCGGAAUCUACUUUUUCGUGGGGGAUAACGUAGGGAAACUUACGCUAAUACCGCAUACGACCUACGGGUGAAAGCAGGGGAUCUUCGGACCUUGCGCGAUUGAAUGAGCCGAUGUUGGAUUAGCUAGUUGGCGGGGUAAAGGCCCACCAAGGCGACGAUCCGUAGCUGGUCUGAGAGGAUGAUCGGCCACACUGGAACUGAGACACGGUCCAGACUCCUACGGGAGGCAGCAGUGGGGAAUAUUGGACAAUGGGCGCAAGCCUGAUCCAGCCAUACCGCGUGGGUGAAGAAGGCCUUCGGGUUGUAAAGCCCUUUUGUUGGGAAAGAAAAGCAGCAGGUUAAUACCCCGCUGUUCUGACGGUACCCAAAGAAUAAGCACCGGCUAACUUCGUG
rnacentral:rRNA from 1 species